rnacentral:rRNA from 1 species
AGCGAACGCUGGCGGCAGGCCUAACACAUGCAAGUCGAACGAAGUCUUCGGACUUAGUGGCGGACGGGUGAGUAACACGUGGGAACGUGCCUUUAGGUUCGGAAUAACUCAGGGAAACUUGUGCUAAUACCGAAUGUGCCUUUCGGGGGAAUGCUUUUUCGCCUUUAGAGCGGCCCGCGUCUGAUUAGCUAGUUGGAGAGGUAAAGGCUCACCAAGGCUACGAUAAGUAGCUGGGCUGAGAGGAGGACCAGCCACAUUGGGACUGAGACACGGCCCAAACUCCUACGGGAGGCAGCAGUGGGGAAUAUUGCGCAAUGGGCGAAAGCCUGACGCAGCCAUGCCGCGUGGAUGAUGAAGGUCUUAGGAUUGUAAAAUCCUUUCACCGGUGAAGAUAAUGACUGUAGCCGGAGAAGAAGCCCCGGCUAACUUCGUGCCAGCCGCCGCCGUAACAC